AAAAUAUCAAGAAAAAACAUGGUCUUGUAGGGCUAGGUUUAAACCAGAAUUUAUAGAAAGAUUAAAAGAUUCCCUAGGUGUAGCUAAAAGUUCAUUAUCUUCUUGAUUAAAAGAUAGGACCUCAGCUAUAGAAAAGGGCUAGUUUUGACCUAUUGCAAUCAACUCCGGACACAGAUCAUAAUUAGGGGCAAAGAAAGGACUUGUUAACUCCCAUGGUCUAUGGCUGGUCUCCGAAGGUGCAAAGAAUUCAAUAAUAGAUGUGGAAUUUAGUUAUCCAUAAAGAUGGAAAAAAUAAAAAGAUAAAAGAAUAAAAGUAUAAUACAAGAUAAUAGCAAGACUUAAAGUUAUCUCAGCAAACCGUCUUUCUCCCCGGCAACGGCGCCAGAAAUGCUUGUUGAUAUUUGGUAACGCCAUCAGGAAAUGAUCCACAAGCGCAC
rnacentral:lncRNA from 1 species